rnacentral:tRNA from 2 species
GCGCUAUUAGCUCAACAGUAGAGCACUAGUCUUCCAAACUAGGGACGCCGGGGCGGCACCGGCAUAGCGCUC